CCUACGGGCGGCAGCAGUGAGGAAUAUUGGUCAAUGGACGAGAGUCUGAACCAGCCAAGUAGCGUGAAGGAUGACUGCCCUAUGGGUUGUAAACUUCUUUUAUAUGGGAAUAAAAUGUUCCACGUGUGGGAUUUUGUAUGUACCAUAUGAAUAAGGUUCGGCUAACUCCGUGCCAGCAGCCGCGGUAAUACGGAGGAUCCGAGCGUUAUCCGGAUUUAUUGGGUUUAAAGGGAGCGUAGGUGGAUUGUUAAGUCAGUUGUGAAAGUUUGCGGCUCAACCGUAAAAUUGCAGUUGAAACUGGCAGUCUUGAGUACAGUAGAGGUGGGCGGAAUUCGUGGUGUAGCGGUGAAAUGCUUAGAUAUCACGAAGAACUCCGAUUGCGAAGGCAGUUCACUGGACUGCAACUGACACUGAGGCUCGAAAGUGUGGGUAUCAAACAGGAUUAGAUACCCGAGUAGUC
rnacentral:rRNA from 1 species